GAUGAACGCUGGCGGCGUGCCUAAUACAUGCAAGUCGAGCGAACAGACGAGGAGCUUGCUCCUCUGACGUUAGCGGCGGACGGGUGAGUAACACGUGGAUAACCUACCUAUAAGACUGGGAUAACUUCGGGAAACCGGAGCUAAUACCGGAUAACAUGUUGAACCGCAUGGUUCAACAGUGAAAGACGGUCUUGCUGUCACUUAUAGAUGGGUCCGCGCCGCAUUAGCUAGUUGGUAAGGUAACGGCUUACCAAGGCAACGAUGCGUAGCCGACCUGAGAGGGUGAUCGGCCACACUGGAACUGAGACACGGUCCAGACUCCUACGGGAGGCAGCAGUAGGGAAUCUGCCGCAAUGGGCGAAAGCCUGACGGAGCAACGCCGCGUGAGUGAAGAAGGUCUUCGGAUCGUAAAACUCUGUUAUUAGGGAAGAACAAAUGUGUAAGUAACUAUGCACGUCUUGACGGUACCUAAGCAGAAAGCCACGGCUAACUACGU
rnacentral:rRNA from 1 species